rnacentral:tmRNA from 1 species
GGGGCUGAUUCUGGAUUCGACGGGAUUCACGAACUCUUAGGUGCAUGCCGAGGUGCGGUAGGCCUCGUAAAAAAACCGCAAAAAACUAGUC